UACAGAGGGUGCAAACGUUGCUCGGAAUUAUUGGGCGUAAAGGGCUCGUAGGCGGUCUGUCGCGUCGGGAGUGAAAACUCAGGGCUUAACCCUGAGCCUGCUUCCGAUACGGGCAGACUAGAGGUAUGCAGGGGAGAACGGAAUUCCUGGUGUAGCGGUGGAAUGCGCAGAUAUCAGGAGGAACACCGGUGGCGAAGGCGGUUCUCUGGGCAUUACCUGACGCUGAGGAGCGAAAGUGUGGGGAGCGAACAGG
rnacentral:rRNA from 1 species